GAUGAACGCUAGCUACAGGCUUAACACAUGCAAGUCGAGGGGAAACGAUAUUGGAAGCUUGCUUCCGAUAGGCGUCGACCGGCGCACGGGUGAGUAACGCGUAUCCAACCUGCCCACCACUUGGGGAUAACCUUGCGAAAGUAAGACUAAUACCCAAUGACGUCUCUAGAAGACAUCUGAAAGGGNUUAAAGAUUUAUCGGUGAUGGAUGGGGAUGCGUCUGAUUAGCUUGUUGGCGGGGUAACGGCCCACCAAGGCGACGAUCAGUAGGGGUUCUGAGAGGAAGGUCCCCCACAUUGGAACUGAGACACGGUCCAAACUCCUACGGGAGGCAGCAGUGAGGAAUAUUGGUCAAUGGGCAGAGCCUGAACCAGCCAAGUAGCGUGCAGGAUGACGGCCCUAUGGGUUGUAAACUGCUUUUAUAAGGGAUAAAGUUAGUCUCGUGAGACUUUUUGCAUGUACCUUAUGAAUAAGGACCGGCUAAUUCCGUG
rnacentral:rRNA from 1 species